UCAUAUAUCCUGAUAACCCUUCUCUCUUCUUCUACAGCAAUAAAACCCCUGACUUAUAUGAUUUACAGUUGGGUGUUUGGCUACAGAGAAUAAAGACUGUAUUUUCCAUCUUUGUUUGCAGGUUAGAAUGGCCUUGUGACUAAAUUCUAACCAACCACCUAGGAACAGAAGCAUGUGCAACUUCUGGUGGUGCUCUUAAAGGGAAAGAACGCACUCCCUCUCUGUUUCCUCUCCCUACUGGAUGGAGUGAGGAUGUGUGAUGAGCUGUCAAGGCCAUGGAGAUAAAGGCAGUGCCCCUCCCCUGGGGAGAGUGGAGCAACGAGAAGGAGAAGGAGGCAACAUGAAGCAUUUGCAGCUACAUUUUUGCUGGAAAGAUGGUGUCUAUUCACAGAUUCCUUACAAUUAAAUUUCUUACUACCAUGGAAAUAGAAAGUUCUAAUGUCACAGUGAACAACCACUGAAUGAGCCAAGUGCUCCUGGAGAAGUCUGCUGGAGCCAGUCAAAGCCUGUAUUGAAGCGGCUCAGGAAGUCAUGUGACCCAGCCCUGACCAAUUGGAGCACCACAUUCCAGUGAUUUUUCAAAGAUGGGCAGAAGGUAAAAAAAAAAAAAGAUGGACAGAAGGUCAUCAGAAAAUGCUGUCUCUGAACCAAACUGUUAACAAAAGUUAUAGAGUACUCUGUAAACUCAAAGGAUGUAUUAUCAGCAGAACAUGCCAUGAGACAAUAAUAGGCUGUGGAAUGUUUAAAGACUUCAACUACUUGAGAUGCCCCAGUUCCCAAUGGAAGAGGCACUUGGGUUGGUGGUAACAGAACUGGCCCAUCAGCCAGGAGGUCCUGACAGGUCUCAGGAGGCCCCCGGUGAGGCGUUAUACUAUAACACCAUGGUUACCACACUAACUUUAUCGAGUCUUGUCGAUUUCAUUCACCGGUAACAGCAGCAUGCUGCAUUGUCUACAAGUUAUGAACUAAUAACAACCAAACACCACUAUGCUUGUGCCGCAGCCAUCUAAUGAUGACCAUAACCUCUGGGGUCCAGAAGGAGGUGGGCACGCACCCACGCAGAGCCAAUGAGGCGGACUCCUACGUGGGGACUGUGUGGAACGGCUGGGAAAGACAGAAGCUGCUUCCUGAUGCUGCUCUUGCGGACAAACUCGACAUGGAGCUGCUGACAGCCACCCUGCCAUCUCGAGGUGGAGAUCCCGGGACAGGAACCCGCCCGGAGGAGAGAGGUGGACAGAGUCAUGCUGAGUGCUGAUGCUGUCACUCGAGUCUCAGGAUCCAGUCCUGCCAGAAGUGAGAUUUACCCCUGGGCUUUUCAGUUUUCCAGAGAACAAAUCGUCCCUUUUAUUUUUACUUAGGACAAUUUAAAUUGUAAAUUGUCACUCGCAAGCUACAAUACAAACAAGCGAAUGACUCAGAUUACAAAUGCUGUGGUUUCAAAGAAUGAAGAAGUUAUUUCUAGAAUAACUGGGUUAACUUCUUGAAGCACAUGGAAUAGAGACUGGUCUUGGAAAACUAGAGAA